AAAAGAAAAGAAAAGAAAAAAGAAAAGAAAAAAAUAAAAAAAAAAAGAAAAGAAAAUAGGUUUGAAACUCAUGACUUGCAAGCUUCUCUCUCCAGAUGCAUCCUACCUUAUUUAUGAGGGGAAUUGUGGUCCUGCACAUGCUGCCAUCACUGGACUUUAACUUGGAGCUGAGCUAAUGACACCUUGCCUCCCAUUGCUCAUCAUCAUCAGGUUUGACCUGUGCAGUGCAGAGCAGCUAUCACAGAGCAGAGGGAAAGCAGAUGUGGCCGGUGCCAUUCACGGGCAGCCCCAGGCCCACAUAGGAUUUCGGAGGGGCUGGUGCUGGCACAGAAGGUGUGGGCAGUUUGGCAGGAGGAGGGCUGGCUGUGGGGAACAGCCACUAGCAUCUCCUCAUGGGAGUGAUACAUCCCCACCUGAAGAAAGCCUUCCCUGGGUCCCUUCUGCUGCCAUAAAAUACCUGGAAAAGAGUUGCCUGCCUAGGUGGGUAGCCAUGGUAAUUCAUCUCGAGCAGUUUCAGUACGAGAUCACAGAAAAAGGUCUUACUCUUUAUCAGCUGAAGCCUUCAUGCCUUUCCCCAUCCCCACGUUCUGCAAUUCCCAUCAUUAAAUGACAGUAGCUCUUACAAUUAGGCCCAGCCCAUGGUCCUGUUAGAGAAAGAGGUGAUUAGAGUGAUUCUUAUCACAAAGACGACGGCCAUUAGAGGAGAAAUUUGAUGUAUUUUGUCUUAUUUCCAUGAACCAACAGGUCAGGUUUACCCAGGUGGCUCUCACUACAAAAUACACAGAACAAGCCCGGGAACACUGUUGUCUCUGCACAAAUGCUGGGGCAGCUCCAUGGUGAUAGAAGCAGUUAUAACUCUGUCAAAGCUGAUUCCAGCUUACAGUCCGUAAUGUAAUGAUCUAAUCCAAACCAUUUCUGCACAAGGCACUCCAUGCUUAUUUUUUAGUUUUCUGCUUUUUAAGUUAUUGAAUUUAAAAAGUUUAAAUGUAAAUUAACACUUCUAUUUUUGGCUCUGGCUAUUCACCCAAUAAAUACAUGAGAGAAAAAAUGCUAUUUUCAGUCCAAACGUUGACCUGUACCUUACGGUGAAAGCACACCCAGGGAAAAUGAAUGGGCUGGCUUGUAGUAUAAGGGCAAUUCAAAGCGAACAAGGGGGGCAGGACAUCCUCCUCCUCUUGCAGUCAUGCUGGCCAGGCUUUCAUUUAAAGCCAAAUGAACAAAUAGGGUAAGUUCACCAUACUUGCCUGACACUUUUGCUUUCCACUACUGUGUUUCUUUCUUCACUGGUGUGAAAAGCAGGCAUCUAUUUAUGAGGGAAGGGAUUGCACUUUUCUUUCUUUCUUUUUUUUUUUUUUUCUUUUUUUUUAAUUUUGUUUUAAUUUUUCAGUCAUUUAUUAAUGCUAUCUUGUUUUAUGACCCACCUGGUCCCAUGCCAUGCUGAUCUAGAGAGCCUUGUUUUCCUGACAGCUGGCUGAUCACCAGCACAAUCUGAUGGAGAACUGGGGGACUCAAUGGAAGGACCUUGACCCCCCAGCCAGCCGCUCUUUGUUGGGUGCUUUCAGGCCGAGGCCUGAAAAGACGAAGGCGAUUUCUAUUUGUCAAAGUGAAGAGACAACAGGAGAAAGAAUAAAGAAAAUCUUCUAAGCAGUCAGCUGAACUUGUUCAGACUGAUACCAGCUUGCGGUAUUCAGACGGCAGCUAACCCAAGGUUUCCCUAACCUUGGCAGAAGUGCGGGAAAUAGUUGCAGGAGGAUGAAGUGUUCUUGAACUGUUUCUCCAGUGUAUCAAGCACAAGAAGGCUUUUCUGCAAUAUUAAGCAUGUGCCUCUCUUUUCUUCCCCUUUAAAGAAACUUUUUAUUGUAGACUAUAAAAGGGGGAAAAAAAUCAAUAUCUGUCUGUUUGCGGACCCCUGUGCUGCUUCUACACUUCCCAAGGACAAAGAUGCAAAUCAGGACCUCCCCAGUAUAAUAGCAUUUAGAAGGCAAAUUACUUUUUAAAGUCUUACACUAAAAGCAAAAGGUUAAAAGAAAUAGCUGUACUCAAGUGUCGUUUUAAACAAAAAGGAAAAAAAUAUUAACCACAUUCUUGAAAACAUCAGCCAGAGCUUCCCUGGAAGUAUCAAAAACAGCAUUCCAGAUAAAAGCAGCAUGAUGUGAAAAGACCUGAUCAGCAACAGAUUGAUGUCUGGGCUUGGGGACUAAUGUAAGAACUUAAAGACUUGGCUAGAGAAUAUAUCUCGAGAAGCAUAAACAUAUAAGAGGAUGCCAAACCAUGAAAGGCUUCCUUUGCACUGAGAAUUCAGAAAUCGGCGUGUUGACAAGCAGGGAAGCCAAUGCUGCAAGAAAAGCACACAGGGUGAUGAAUAAACGCAGCCUUUAGGAGCCUAGGAUGAGAUUGAGAAAGGGGCCAACCUAUUUAGGCACAGCUGGCAGUCUCUACACCCAGCAUUUAGGUGCUGUCAAGCCCCAGACCUCUCCUCCCAGCUGCCACCCAGUGCUGCUGGUGCUGGCGUCCCACAGACUGGAGCUGCUGGAUUAGAUGCUGCCCAGCUGCUCCAAAGCCUUAUUCCAUGCCACUGUAGCCAGGAUGCAUCCUCAAAAGUGUAUGUGCUGGCUGGCCCUAACACAGGCGCAACCAAGGUCCAAGCUAUGUGUGUCACAUUGGAUGCAACAUGCCUGUCACCAUACAAGUGGAAAAUAUCUCUACCUGACUCCUGCACCUGAUGGGCAUCCUAUGUGAUUCAGUCUUAGAGCCUUCCAGGAGACUCCAUGUGGACCUCUUCCUGUGCACCAGGCCUUAGGCUGGAGGUGCAGUGUUUGCCCACCACAUUGCCUUGGGGUUGCCUCUUGCUUGUGCUUCCCGGAGGAGAGGCAGUGGUUCUGCUGCUUCCUGCUGCCUCCUAAAUCAAUGCCCUGCUGGCAGGAAAACCAUUGUAUUGGUGGCAGCAUCAGCCGGAGCUGUGCUUUUGAGGAAGGGAUGCAAACUCUUCUCCUCGAGUGUCCCAGGCAGCCAGCAGUGGGGCUGCCUGUGGGCUGGGGCAUGUGUGGGACGUGCUUUUCUGGCACCUCUCUCCCCGGUCCCAUCUCGCUUUCUUCACAGGCAGCCUCCAAACCUACGGAAACCACCUGCCAAAGCUCAGUGGAUGGGGGCACUUCGUCUGCCCCACACAUCACCUCCUGCCAGCCCUGCAGCCUGGCCAGCCAGUGGGCAAUGCCAGCGACCACUCUUCCCUGCCCAGAUCUGCUCGGGGAAGCUCUGCGAGAAGGCUGGCAGCCCUAUAGCACUCGUGCUAGGGCUCUGACCUCUUUUCUGCCACCUUGCAGAGCUGGGGGAGCAGUCACAGUGGUGGCAGAGCCCAUCUUGCUGUGAUGAACCUGGUGCCUACAAACAGUGAUGGAGCCCCCUACACGGUCAAAGGGUUUCAGCUCCUCCCUAUGGUGUUUGUGUCAUAUCUGGCAUUUGAGACACAGCUGUGCCAUGUUGUGUGUUGGCCUGCUACUCCCCCUCCUUACAGCAACCCAGGAUAUCAAAUCUGUGAGGUUGGCCUGGCCGCAUGGGCAGGCAGCAUGCCUAUCAGCCAGCAGAGCAGGAGCCUGAUCACACUACGCCCACCACAGUAGUAAUUCCCGUGGCAAUACUGAAGAAGAAGUCAGGAAACUGGUCAAGCUGUCCGAUGCGAACAUUUUAUCCUCUCUACAAGACUGCUGAAAGAGUGAAAUGCAUCCAAAGAAGUUUUAUCUGAGGAGGUAAUUCUAAUUGUUCCCUGUUCUGCUGUUAUCUGAUGGGAACACUCUCGGCAGCGACCUCCUUACUGAGUGAAGUAAGCCCUACACAACACCAGAGAGGCAGCUUGAAAUUAGGAUACAGAAAACUGAUGCCAAAAAUAUGUCAGCUUGGAAGGUCAUUAAGAAUUAUCCAUUUGUGCAUGUUGCAUUGUGCAUGCCAACAGUACCUUAAGUGAUUACCUUAGAGGGACAGAUUUGUCUAAUGAACAUAUGAAUUACCAAUAUAAAAUUGUGAUUGAUAAAUCAAAUAAGAAUUUAUAAUUUGGCAAUGUAUCUAACCGGGAUGGAGUUUCACUGGAUGUGGAUGCAAGAGGCGCCGCUGGUGUUCUUUGCUAAAAAUGACUCUCGGUGGUAUUUUUCCACUUUAUGACACCACAGCUUUAGGUGCCUGAUCUGAGAGCUAGCUUGCUCGUACCUCAGGCAGAUACAACUUGUUCUAAAGAGCUUGACUCACAGUUUCCAGGAGUGUUUUUUUUUUUUUUAAACCUCUCUGCCCACACCUUCAUUGAUUUUAUUUUUUAAGCUCAGCUUAGAAAUUAGCCUGGACUGGUACUGGCAUACAAAUGCUUCGUUUUUAAACUAUGUAAUAAUUGGCAUAAUUUGGGUUAUUUUCAAAUUUAGGAACUCAGAUAAAAGCAGCUGACAUUUAGCUCUGCUUUUCUGCACUGACAUAGUUCACGAAGGAGUUUGAUUUUUUUUUUCUAUGAAAGUUAGGCUACAUUAGUAGUUUACUCAGUUGGCAAUGGCAUUUCCUACUCACAGAAUUUAAAAAGUCUAGGAGAAUAACAGGUUUAGGUUUAAAAAAAUGCCUUGUACAGGUGGGCUUUUAUUUUUUUUUCCAAAGCUUUAGAGUCCUAUUGGAUAUGACCAAUGCAAUAUACACAUCGUGAUUUUAAUUAAGCUGUUACUAGCAGGUGUACUUCAUGUAACAUUUACAAUAAAUUCUUAGUGACUCCUUACAGCACUGCUGUCUUCUUGGCUUGUUAGGCUCAGGGCAGUCCCAGUGCAUGUGAGCAACAACAAAAAUUUUUGGUAGCAGCUCCUGUUGGAGCUACUACCAUCUAGCACUUGUCAAACUGCACACUAGAGAUCCUGACAAUAAGAAAGUACCAAAGGAAUUGUUACGUUUCAUUACUCUGUGUGAUCAAUGCCUCCUUGUGUGCUAAUGAACCAAAGCUAGGUCAUAAUUGCUUUUAAAGAUAAAAUUAUUUAGGAUUUCUUUGAUUUGAUAUAAAGGAGAAACUUCGGUCUGUCAGGUCUGUGAUGCAUUGAGCACCCUGUCUCUUGCACAUUCAGAAUUGCCAUAGUAAAACCUGCUGUUUAUCUGAGGUGGAAAUUUCAAAGGUGUUAAUGUUGGAGCAUGCUAUAAAAUGGGUUGUGUGGUCACAAAAUGCACAAAAUCAGUUACUGAAGCCCUGCCCAUUGUGAGGCCAGACGGAAACCAUGCUGGCCCGUGGCCCCCUGGUGCAUCCAUGGCUGGGAACCAUGGCCUGGAAACGCGCCUGCACCAGGAGCCAGCCCUGUGACUCCUGUGGCUCCUCCUGGCCUUGGCCAAACCUCCUUCAGCAGGCUGUACCACUGCUUUUUGGUAGCACUGUGGGAUGUCUCUGUGGCUGGAAACCAGCCACCUCUGGUUUCUCCAUCCUGCCAUCUCCAGCCUGCUGCAGGUGAGGGAGCUCUGCUGCCCUGCAAAAGUACCACAUCCAUGGCACUUCCUAAUUCAUCACAUGCUGUCUUUAAAGUGAGAAAAUGCCCCACAAGAAUAAAUAUGAAAGUAAAUGCACUGAUGUUUGGGACUAUAACCAGAAAACAGAGCAUUGGGACUCAAAAACAGAUGUCAUUGUGUCUGUGGACUGUACAGAUAACAUAACAAUACCACAUUGUACAGAGUGCUCUGUGAUGCGUAGGGUUACGAGGGGAGUGAAGGGGCAUGGGAGCCCAUGAGACCUGGUCCAUCACAGCCAUGUGUUCAAGGUCUCCACUGGAGACCACAAAGGAAAACCAGGUAAAAAUGUAAAGGACAGCGUUUCACCAGGUGAUGCAGAAUUUUCCUUGUCAUCACCUUUGGCACUGAUGAAAUCCAUGAGAAAGUGCUUUGAGGGUGCUGGCAGGAGGCCACCAUACAGUUGCCCUAGUACGCAACGGGUGGGUGGGAGGUGGCAAGACCAAACAGGUCAGCUCAUAAAUGAAAUCAGAGCCUCACGAGUAAGCUAUGGGCAGCUCCCUUGGAGCAAGAGAGGACCCAGCUGUUAUUGCUGAGCUAGCGUGCUUUGCACACACAUAGGAAGAGUUCUGUUAAACGGAUGACACCCUUUAUAUAUAUUCAUAACACCGAAUUUCAUAGCUAAGUUUAUCAGUGGCUCCCCACAGAGACACCAUGUGUGGGAGAUGUUGUUUUGCCCCUGCAGUUGUACCCAGGACCUGGCUGCCACCAGCGCUGGUACACCAAGGGUGCUGCAAGAGCACUGCAAGGGCAUUGCACGGACAUUGCAAGGGUGUCGCAAGGGCAGCGGGGACCUCACAUCUGCUGGCCUGAGGAGCAGCUCAGGUCCCUCGCCACCCCCCUGGCUGUGUUCACACCCCCUCUCGAUGGAAAGGGCAGCUUUGUGGCCGGCAGGAGCGGGGUUGAGGAGGGGCGCGGGAUGCAGGCCCGCGUCUCCGCCAGUCCCAGGGAGGCUGCAGAGCAAAGCAUGACACAACCCCUUAGACAUUUAGGGAGGGGGCACGUUAUUUUAAUAUCCUUUUUUGUGCUUAAUAGAAAAGGGGUUUGUGGUUGAUUCUUUAUUAUCUCCGACAGCAGUUCUCGCUUCGGCUCCUCUUUCUUUAACUGCCAAGCUAGCAUUUUCCUUUUUUAUUGCUCCUUUCUUAGAGGUUUGCUUUGGACUAUUGCCAGUUAUCAUUUCCCAUUAGGGCAAAUAUUGCAUCAAACUCAUGAUUAGGGAUUUGAGGGCUUGGGAAUAUUAUUUUCGAACAUUUGUCUUUCAUUUUCUGAGAGUUUUUUUUUUUUCUCCUCUCUUUGCACACACACAUACGCACUCAUGCCUGUAUAUCUGGGGAUGUACAUAUGUGUGUGUAUUUUUAUAGAGAGGGAGAAAGAGGGAGCUUCAUGCAUCUGAUUGCACAUGUAUGUUUCCGUGGAGGCAUGUGCCUGUUUGUGCGUAAAGUUUUAACCCCCCUUGCCCAGGCCAAGGGAGGCUCUUUCCUCAUGAGGGAUUUCCGAGGAAGCUGAAGGCACCCACGGAAGGAGGAUGACAGAUUUGUUUGUGUGUGCUGGGCUCAGUGCUCCAGCUCCGCGCAAGGGAAGGUGCUAACGCAUGCUGUCAGCGGGGAGGGGACGGCACGGCGAGGAGCUGCUGCAAGUGUCACUGCCCUUGUGGAGCCGGGCAGCAAUGCUGCCUGUGCCUGAGCCUGCCUUCUGCCAUGCCACAUGCACUGCUGUGGGCUUCAGGGAGCCUGGAGUUUGGCUCUAUCAAUCUCCAGCAUUCAGGCACCGCUGUGAUCUUCAAAAGCCUGUCCAGCUGCUGCCUGCUCUCCUGAUGCUGGCUCACAAA